UCCUUCUCUCUUUGUCCUUUAAUCUUUCACAUCCACUGCAAAAGUUUUUCUUUUUUCUUCUUCCUCCUCUCGGUUUCUUCUCGAUUUCUCCUCUCUGAACUUCUGGUGAUUUUGGUUCGAGUUUGAGAAGAUGAUUUCGAGUUCGAGAACGCAAAGAAAGGAUGGGUUUUACCUGGAUUGGAUGUUGCAGCAGUUAAAUGUGAUGAACAGAGAGUGUUUUGGUCUGUGUUAGGGUUUGAAUUUGAAUUAGAAUCGAGGGAAAAGGGGGAGGCGCUGUUAAUGGAGAAAACGAGAGCAUUCUGAGAGAUAAAUUAAGAAGAUGAAGAAGAGAGAUCUGCCAUAGAUGGAGAAUGGGUUUGUGUUUGAAUCACUUGAUUUGGAAGAAGAAACCAGAGAAGAAAUUAAUGGUGAUGUUCUCAGUUGAUGAAGAAGAUAAAGAGGUUUAGAUGAAUGUUAGGACAGGGGUUAAUGGGUUCUCGAAUUCAAGCAACAGGGUUCUGAAAUUGCAAUUAGGGUUUUGAAUUUGAUUCAAAUUGAUGAUGGUCGUUGUUGUGAAUUGAGUUAGUUGUUGGUGUUGAUUUGAAGAUGUGGUAGUGGAUUGCAGUAUUGUUGUUGCUGUUCUAGAUCUGAUGGGUUGGAGCUGACGUUGUUUAAACUGAAUGGCUAGACAUGGGGUUGUGAGUCUAGUUUUGGUGUUGCAGCUGAAGAUGGUGGUUGGGAUUAUUGUUUCGUCUGGAGUUUAGAGAUGGGAGGCGCAGUUUUUCUAAGAGAAGAGAGACGUACAAAAUCAGUGGAAGAGAAUUUGCGCAGGGAGGAAGAGGAGUUGUUACUGCCAUGUAUUUUAGUGGGUUAAUUAAGAUUCUCGAAAUGGUAAUGAACGAAAGAGAUUCAGUGGAAGUAUUAGAGUCUUGAAUGAAUUAGAAUACAUAGGUUCUCAUCAUAUUUGAUUUGCAGCAAGGAAAUGAAGAAACCAAGACGAAUUCCUGAUGGUGGAAGUUAGGGUUUGGUUGAUGGCCGGGAAUUCAAUUGAAGUAAAUGGAGAUGCUGCUACUGUUGGCUUGAUGGUAUGAUGGUGCUAUGGACUAAUUGCAGUUGAAAUGAACAUGCAGGGGAGUAGAGGUCUAAAUCUAGCGCCACUCUGGCUAAGCGCCCUACAGCCAUCCAAACUAUUGCAUCUGGUACUGUUUCUCAUUCAGCUUUACCACACAUUUCUCAGGGCUCUUAAUCAGUAAUCCAAAUGCUCCUUGGGUGAUUCGUUUGAACAGUGACAUAUUGAGGAGCUCUCAGACACCUAAACCUCACUCAGUUGUUGUUAAGGCCAAUGCGAAUCCAAGUCCAGUUGUUCAAGUAUCAACCAUAGUUUGUGAAAAUUGCGAAGGAAAUGGUGCUGUGAGUUGCUCGCAGUGCGAAGGUAAUGGGGUGAAUUUUGUUGACCACUUUGAUAGACGGUUCAAAGCAGGUGGUUUAGGUUGGCUUUGCAGGACAUGCUCAUUGUUGGAACCGAUGCAUCUUCUUUGAUGCUUGUGGGCAAUGACAGAACUAAUUAGGCGUCCAACAUUGAUGGAAAGAGUACAAGAGGAAGUGAGAAGAAUUCUAGGCAAUAAGAACGUGGGAUUCGAAAUUGAUCUUCUCAAUCUGAACUACUUGAAAUUAGUGGUAAAAGAGACACUGCGGAUUCAUCCUCCAGGACCACUACUAGUUCCAAGGGAAACUAGAGAUGACUGCGUAAUAAACGGGUACAACAUCCCAGCCAAAACAAAGGUAUUCUUUAAUGCAAAAGCUAUUGCCAUGGACCCUAAGUUUUGGAAAGACCCCGAAGUGGUCCGACCAGAAAGAUGCAUAACUAAGAACAUAGAAUUUAAAGGGCAAAACUUUGAGAUGGUACCAUUUGGGAUUGGACGGAGGGGUUGCCCUGGUAUUGACUCUUCUUUGGUCAUAAUUGAACUUGUUCUUGUAAAUCUUCUCUACUGUUUUAACUGGGAAUUGUCCCUUGGAGUGGAAAGGAAGAAAUCGAUAUGCAAGAAGCUCCUGGUAUCGCAGUGCAAAAGAAGAUUCCACUCUUAUUGGUUGCUGCCGCUGCAAAUGUAUAUCCAAGUUCAUAAUAAGUUGGGAAGGAGCUCAUCAAAGGCGGCUUGGGUGAUGCCUAAAUAAAUACAUUUCAAGACGCACGAGUUAAAUUUAGUACCCCGCAAAAUUGGAAGAAGAUUUUUCUCUAUAAAAAGGCUUGGUAUUAGCCGAUCCAAACUAUUUUUAUGUAGUGCUAAUGUCUUGCUUGUAAGGUGACAACAUUCUAAGCACAUGAUCAUGCAUGGUUUCAUCCAUGUCUUGCCAUCAGAUCGCUUGUGCUUUGUUAUUUUUUCAACAAUUUUUAUAUAUCAGAAAUGA